rnacentral:rRNA from 1 species
UUUGACUGGGGCGGUCUCCUCCUAAAGAGUAACGGAGGAGCACGAAGGUUGGCUAAUCCUGGUCGGACAUCAGGAGGUUAGUGCAAUGGCAUAAGCCAGCUUGACUGCGAGCGUGACGGCGCGAGCAGGUGCGAAAGCAGGUCAUAGUGAUCCGGUGGUUCUGAAUGGAAGGGCCAUCGCUCAACGGAUAAAAGGUACUCCGGGGAUAACAGGCUGAUACCGCCCAAGAGUUCAUAUCGACGGCGGUGUUUGGCACCUCGAUGUCGGCUCAUCACAUCCUGGGGCUGAAGUAGGUCCCAAGGGUAUGGCUGUUCGCCAUUUAAAGUGGUACGCGAGCUGGGUUUAGAACGUCGUGAGACAGUUCGGUCCCUAUCUGCCGUGGGCGCUGGAGAACUGAGGGGGGCUGCUCCUAGUACGAGAGGACCGGAGUGGACGCAUCACUGGUGUUCGGGUUGUCAUGCCAAUGGCACUGCCCGGUAGCUAAAUGCGGAAGAGAUAAGUGCUGAAAGCAUCUAAGCACGAAACUUGCCCCGAGAUGAGUUCUCCCUGACUCCUUGAGAGUCCUGAAGGAACGUUGAAGACGACGACGUUGAUAGGCCAGGUGUGUAAGCGCAGCGAUGCGUUGAGCUAACCGGUACUAAUGAACCGUGAGGCUUAACCUUACAACGCCGAAGCUGUU